GAAAUAGUUUGCUAUUUUGGGAUAGUCAGAAAUAAAAUUAUGUUUAGAUUGUAACGCUGGUAUUUUUAGGAAUAAUUAAAAUUGUAUUUGGUUAAUUUUACGGAAUAGUAGAGAACAGUAGAAAACAAUAAUCGUUGCAUUUGAUAUAAAAUAUAAUUUUAAUAAAAAUAACUCAUUAUAAUAUUGAAUAAAACUAAUUUAUUAAAAAAUUAUGAUUUAAUAAAAAUAAUUUUUAUAUAUAUAAUUUUUAAAAAAUUCUACUUAAACUUAAAUUUAAUAAAAAAUAAUGUAUUAUAAUAUUUAAAUAUAAAUAAUAUGUAGCAAUAUAGUAUAAUUAAUAAUUUUAUAAUAAAAAUAAUAUAUUAUUAAUUAUAAUAUAUAGCAUAUUAUAUAUAUCUAUAUAAUUUAGUUUUAAUUCAAUUUAUAAUUUAAAUAAAGUUUGAAAUUAAAGCUUGGAAUAGCACUCUUCCGCCAAAAUGGUAGAAUUGCAAAUCCCAAACUAUUCCGGAAUAGCUGGGAAUAGUAAGGUUUGACUGGGAUAAAAUAUUCCGGCCAAAAAACAUCUCGUUUGGCGGAAUAGUGGGGAUAACUUUCGUUAUCUCAACUUUAUCCCCAAACCAAACUGGACAGUCAUUCUAGAAAUUAUAGUUAAGUGUUGUGUUGGCUUAAAUGGGCCAGCAUUCUGUCAUGUGGCGGAGGGCCGGGUUGGGCCGAGUCACGUUCGAAAUGACGUGAUGCUGGAUAGGCCGAGUUAUAUAUGUUUGAAGUGGCAUGAGGCCGGGUGAGCUAAGUCACAAUUAAGAUCUGUGAGCGCUGUAUCUGUACGCUUUAAGUGAAUUGGUUGCGUAUUUCUAACAGCUCGAGCUUUUUGAAUUAAUGGUCAGCGCCAACGAUCCGACAUGUUGGACAAAUUAUUUUUAUUGGGGCAGAAAGAUGAAUUACGCCUUUGGCGUAAAACCAGAAGCUGUAAUUUGCAGCUUUUUAAUGUUAUAGUAUAUU
rnacentral:lncRNA from 1 species